GAACGGAGCACCUUCGAAAGAGACUUCGGUCAAUGGAAAAGAAUGCUUAGUGGCGGACGGGUGAGUAACGCGUGAGGAACCUGCCUUUCAGUGGGGGACAACAGUUGGAAACGACUGCUAAUACCGCAUAACGUACGGGUAUCGCAUGGUAUCUGUACCAAAGAUUUAUCGCUGAGAGAUGGCCUCGCGUCUGAUUAGCUAGUUGGUAGGGUAACGGCCUACCAAGGCGACGAUCAGUAGCCGGACUGAGAGGUUGGCCGGCCACAUUGGGACUGAGAUACGGCCCAGACUCCUACGGGAGGCAGCAGUGGGGAAUAUUGGGCAAUGGGCGAAAGCCUGACCCACAACGCCGCGUGAAGGAAGAAGGCUUUCGGGUUGUAAACUUCUUUUGACAGGGAAGAGCAGAAGACGGUACCUGUCGAAUAAGCCACGGCUAACUACGUGCCAGCAGCCGCGGUAAUACGUAGGUGGCAAGCGUUGUCCGGAUUUACUGGGUGUAA
rnacentral:rRNA from 1 species